rnacentral:rRNA from 1 species
GGGGGACAACCCGGGGAAACUCGGGCUAAUACCGCAUACGCCCUACGGGGUAAAGCAGGGGACCUUCGGGCCUUGCGCUGAUGGAUGAGCUCGCGUCGGAUUAGCUUGUUGGUGAGGUAAAGGCUCACCAAGGCGACGAUCCGUAGCUGGUCUGAGAGGAUGAUCAGCCACACCGGGACUGAGACACGGCCCGGACUCCUACGGGAGGCAGCAGUGGGGAAUCUUGGACAAUGGGGGCAACCCUGAUCCAGCCAUGCCGCGUGUGUGAAGAAGGCCUUCGGGUUGUAAAGCACUUUCAGCAGGGAGGAAGGCUUACCCCUAAUACGGGUGAGUACUUGACGUUACCUGCAGAAGAAGCACCGGCUAAUUUCGUGCCAGCAGCCGCGGUAAUACGAAAGGUGCAAGCCGUUAAUCGGAAUUACUGGGCGUAAAGCGCGCGUAGGCGGUGUGUUAAGUCGGAUGUGAAAGCCCAGGGCUCAACCUUGGAAUUGCAUCCGAUACUGGCACGCUAGAGUGCAGUAGAGGGAGGUGGAAUUUCCGGUGUAGCGGUGAAAUGCGUAGAGAUCGGAAGGAACACCAGUGGCGAAGGCGGCCUCCUGGACUGACACUGACGCUGAGGUGCGAAAGCGUGGGGAGCAAACAGGAUNAGAUACCCUGGUAGUCCACGCUGUAAACGAUGUCUACUAGCCGUCGGGGUCCUUAGUGACUUUGGUGGCGCAGCUAACGCGAUAAGUAGACCGCCUGGGGAGUACGGCCGCAAGGUUAAAACUCAAAUGAAUUGACGGGGGCCCGCACAAGCGGUGGAGCAUGUGGUUUAAUUCGAUGCAACGCGAAGAACCUUACCAGGUCUUGACAUCCUCGGAACUUGGCAGAGAUGCCUUGGUGCCUUCGGGAGCCGAGUGACAGGUGCUGCAUGGCCGUCGUCAGCUCGUGUCGUGAGAUGUUGGGUUAAGUCCCGUAACGAGCGCAACCCUUGUCCUUAGUUGCCAGCACGUCAUGGUGGGAACUCUAGGGAGACUGCCGGUGACAAACCGGAGGAAGGUGGGGACGACGUCAGGUCAUCAUGGCCCUUACGACCUGGGCUACACACCGUGCUACAAUGGCUGGUACAGAGGGUUGCGAAGUCGCGAGGCGAAGCUAAUCCCUUAAAGCCAGUCGUAGUCCGGAUCGGAGUCUGCAACUCGACUCCCGUGAAGUCGGAAUCGCUAGUAAUCGCGGAUCAGAAUGCCGCGGUGAAUACGUUCCCGGGCCUUGUACACNCCGCCCGUCACACCAUGGGANUGGAUUGCNCCAUAAGUGGCUAGUCNUAGUACGNAGGUCGGUCGNCACGN